GGGGGUGGAUCGGGCCUGGUGGCCUGGCCGGUCUUCAAAACCGCGACGGAGGUGCCUACGGCGGCUCCGGUGGGUUCGAUUCCCACACGCUCCCGCCA
rnacentral:tRNA from 1 species